rnacentral:rRNA from 1 species
CUUAACACAUGCAAGUCGAACGAACCUUCGGGUUAGUGGCGGACGGGUGAGUAACGCGUGAGAAUCUGCCCUCAGGAGGGGGACAACAGCUGGAAACGGCUGCUAAUACCCCAUAUGCCGCGAGGUGAAAUGAAUUUCGCCUGAGGAUGAGCUCGCGUCUGAUUAGCUAGUUGGUGUAGGUAAUGGCUCACCAAGGCAUCGAUCAGUAGCUGGUCUGAGAGGAUGAUCAGCCACACUGGGACUGAGACACGGCCCAGACUCCUACGGGAGGCAGCAGUGGGGAAUUUUCCGCAAUGGGCGAAAGGCUGACGGAGCAACGCCGCGUGAGGGAUGAAGGCCUCUGGGCUGUAAACCUCUUUUAUCAAGGAAGAAGAUCUGACGGUACUUGAUGAAUAAGCCACGG